UUUUUUUUUUUUUUUUCAUGCUAAUUGUCAAGCGAAAGACAAUGCCCCCUCUGCCUUCUGCAAACGUUUUGAGAGUUCAAUUUAUUUUGUUAACUCAAUGAUCAGAGAAUUGAUCUGGUCAAUGUACUGGUUGAUUUAUAAUUACAGGUAUGAGUUUGAUGAAGGUUCCUUAGGAACUUUCAUAUUGUUUAUUGUCACUAAUGUAUCUUUUGAUAAACUUGUUUACUUACUAUCAUGAUCGACUUGAAUUUAAGCAUAGGUGAUGAGUAAAAGAAGGGUUGAAUUGCUUUAAAAAUGAAUUGUCAAAUAUGUUCCUUGUCGCAUUGUUGGAUUAGUUUUAUGGUUGAACUGAUUGAUUUGAGUUGUGGUUAAGCUCACUUCUUCCUAUUUAAGAUUCUUGCAGUUUGAAUGCAUAACCAUGUUCCUGAACAUUUAAUCUAUCUAAAUCUUGCUGAUUUAUUAAUUCAUCUGCCAUUGCUUUUUGUAUCCGGAUAACGAACAGGUCAGACACCAUAAACCUUUUCUCGGUAUCCUGUUUUCUGAUUGAUCAGAUUUGAUGCCCUUCAACUAUUACUUUCCGGAAUUCUGAUUUCUGAGUAGUUCCUCUCACCUGCUGUCAAAAGAAGUCAUUUGCUAUUGUUAAGGAUAUGAGGAAAGUGUGUCUGCAUGUUGCAUAUUAUAUUAGUCAAAAAUUCUGAAUUAUUUGAUUCUAAUGAGCAAAAUAUCUUCUGUGGAUAUCUUCAGGUACAAUUUCCAGGAUAAUCGCAAUUAUGGGUGAUUUUUCAAUUCAUAUUAGUGCUGACCUUGUUAAUAGACUUGUCAAUAAUGGUGAGAAGUUAAAGAGGAAACCAAAGAAAACUAAAGUUAAGAUACCCCAAGAAUCUGCCCAUCCCCAAGAUAAGGUGAAUGAAAAGCAACUUCAUGAUGAUCUUGAAACACACAAAGGGGUUCCUUCUCCAGCAUGGCCAGUACAACCUCCAUUGUUCUUGCCAGCAACCCCAUCUUCACAUUCUGCACGCACAGAGUUGGAUGCAAUUAGAUCUGUCCUUCAAGAAAGUGAAAGAGUUUUGGCAAAGUUGCAGAAGCAGGAAGAUGGCAUGCUGCAAGCAGUAACAGAAAGGGCCAAGGAUCUUCAUGAUAAGGAAUUUAAGCUUCCAUAUCAGAAGCCUAUGCCCUGUUUGGGUGAUUAUGAAGCUUGCCGGGCAUGCUACAAGGAGCAUGGUAAUGAUAUUUUGAAGUGUGCUCCUUUAACUAGGAGCUAUUAUGAUUGUGUUCACAGAGUUAAGCAGCAGGUAAGCUUGGCAGAUCAAUAGUUUUUCAUGGGGGGAAAAUUUUCGAAUUCCUCAAUAUGCAUGAUUCCAUGCUAAUUGCCAGUUUGAGAGAUGAUUCAAGUACAUUUUUGAGGUGCAAAUAAAGCAAACUUUGUUCUCAUUACUGUUAUUGGAAUGUAUGUUUUUCUUUCCUGAUGUCAUUUAGGAUUUUGCUAAAUCUAUUGUCCGAACUCCGAGUUCUGUUUUAGUUGGAUUCCAACAAUUUAACUCUCAGAGUUUGGACAUGUGUUAAAGUUUUUGAUGUCUACACACUUCCACAUCACAGAUUUGUGCCGUUAAAAUCAGAAAUCUUUUUAUAGCACUUCCAAUUAAUAUAAGAUACAUGAUGCUUUUCUCAUUCUUUUAUCUUGGAGAAUUGUCUAUGCUGUUAUAUUGUUGGUUUAUUUAUUUAUUUAUUGAAGCCAUCCAAGAAAGUUGAUGUGCCCUCAUUGGAGAAUGCUCAUUAGUUACCAUACAAGUAAUUUGACUUCAACGAGAAGAUGUUAUAUUUGUGGAGAAGGGAGAAAUUGAACGAGAACCGUAAACUUUUGUUUCUUCUUGGGAUUUGGUUCAAGAAACUUCUUGUUCGUAAUUUGGAUGGGAGUAGAGCCACUGGGACCGGAAUAUUUUCCCAAUUACGUUGAAAAGGAGCUGAAUAGUUAUUUUGUUUCACUUCUCUUGAUGAUGGCUAGGUUGAAAUUGUCCAAGAAAAAACAUCUAAGUUAGUGGCCUACGUAGCUAAGCAUUAUUUGGAGGGUGACGUGUGAACAAGCACAAAAAUAUUUAAAUUUGUCAACAAUUGUCGGCCUGAGUUUGUUCCUCUAAGCAGGGGCGGCAGCCACUGAGGGUGCCGAAAAUCGACUUUUGAUUUGAUGCGGAAGUGGAAGGCACUUGAGGAUUUGUGAGGCUCACAACUUCCUGUGAAUUCAUUCGAGUCAAGUGGAUAAAGCCUUUUCAGUGUUGGAUAAUGUUAUCGUUGGUCAUUGGUGGAAGAAACGUCACGGAUGAGGGAUCUAGAGCGACAUGCUAAACUGGUCAAUUGUUUCUACUUUAGAUCUUACACCUGUUAUUUGGGUGCCAAUCGUUGGGUGAUUGGUGGGCUGGAUACUGCUGUGAGAUUUCAACUCCGCAGAGAUUUGCUAUAAGAGUACUUGGCCAAUCUUGUAGUUCCCACUGGUGCAGAAGGAAUUGGAGCACCUUUAAGAGCAUUCACACAAAGAAACGCAACAAAUUAAACGGAGCUGGAAAAGUUCAAUGAUUUGGUUUUUGUACAUUGUAAUCUUUGGCUUAAAACCAUUUGCCAAAGUAGGAAUGGGAAGUGUAAACCUAUUGUCUAUGACGAACUAGAUGUUAGUUUCGAACGGCCUACUGAACUGGACUCUUCAACUCCUCUCUUGGAUAAUUCAUGUCUGGACAAUUUGCCCCUUGAAUUUAGAGGCAGUACUUGAAUUUGUAUAUAAAAAGAGUAUGGAAAAAAGAAUGAUUAAAUUCAAUCUUGAAUUUUGAGGCGAAAG
rnacentral:misc_RNA from 1 species